AUACGGAGGGGGCUAGCGUUGUUCGGAAUUACUGGGCGUAAAGCGCACGUAGGCGGACCGUUAAGUCGGGGGUGAAAUCCGGGGCUCAACCCCGGAACUGCCUUCGAUACUGGCGGUCUGGAGUCCUGGAGAGGUGAGUGGAAUUCCGAGUGUAGAGGUGAAAUUCGUAGAUAUUCGGAGGAACACCAGUGGCGAAGGCGGCUCACUGGCCAGGUACUGACGCUGAGGUGCGAAAGCGUGGGGAGCAAACAGGAUUAGAUACCCUAGUAGUCC
rnacentral:rRNA from 1 species